GUGGGGAAUCUUCCGCAAUGGACGAAAGUCUGACGGAGCAACGCCGCGUGAGUGAAGAAGGUUUUCGGAUCGUAAAGCUCUUUCGUUAGGGACGAACGUGCUCUUUGUGAAUAAUGAGGAGUAAUGACGGUACCUAAAUAAGAAGCCACGGCUAACUACGUGCCAGCAGCCGCAGUAAUACGUAGGUGGCAAGCGUUGUCCGGAAUUAUUGGGCGUAAAGCGCGCGCAGGCGGGAUAUCAAGUCUGUCUUAAAAGUGCGAGGCUCAACCUCGUGAGGGGACAGAAACUGGUAUUCUUGAGUGUCGGAGAGGAAAGUGGAAUUCCAAGUGUAGCGGUGAAAUGCGUAGAGAUUUGGAAGAACACCAGUGGCGAAGGCGACUUUCUGGACGAUGUCUGACGCUGAGGCGCGAAAGCUAGGGGAGCGAACGGGAUUAGAAACCCCAGUAGUCC
rnacentral:rRNA from 1 species